UACGUAGGGACCAAGCGUUGUUCGGAUUUACUGGGCGUAAAGGGCGCGUAGGCGGCGUGGUAAGUCAGUUGUGAAAUCUCCGAGCUUAACUCGGAACGGCCAACUGAUACUGCUGUGCUAGAGUGCAGAAGGGGCAAUCAGAAAUUCUUGGUGUAGCGGUGAAAUGCGUAGAUAUCAAGAGGAAUACCUGAGGUGAAGACGGGUUGCUAGGCUGACACUGACGCUGAGGCGCGAAAGCCAGGGGAGCAAACGGG
rnacentral:rRNA from 1 species